AUCGAACGCUGGCGGCAUGCCUUACACAUGCAAGUCGAACGGCAGCACGGACUUCGGUCUGGUGGCGAGUGGCGAACGGGUGAGUAAUAUAUCGGAACAUACCUUGUAGUGGGGGAUAACUAUCCGAAAGGAUAGCUAAUACCGCAUACGCUCUAAGGAGGAAAGCGGGGGAUCGUAAGACCUCGUGCUAUAAGAGUGGCCGAUAACUGAUUAGCUAGUUGGUGAGGUAAAGGCUCACCAAGGCGACGAUCAGUAGCUGGUCUGAGAGGACGACCAGCCACACUGGAACGGAGACACGGUCCAGACUCCUACGGUAGGCAGCAGUGGGGAAUUUUGGACAAUGGGGGCAACCCUGAUCCAGCAAUGCCGCGUGAGUGAAGAAGGCCUUCGGGUUGUAAAGCUCUUUUGUCAGGGAAGAAACGGUUGUGGCUAAUAUCCAUGGCUAAUGACGGUACCUGAAGAAUAAGCACCGGCUAACUACGCGCCAGCCGCCGCCGUAAAAC
rnacentral:rRNA from 1 species